rnacentral:piRNA from 1 species
CAGAAAACCAGAGGGUCUUUUAAUUGGAAGC